rnacentral:rRNA from 2 species
UUCGAACGAACUCUGGUAUUGAUUGGUGCUUGCAUCAUGAUUUACAUUUGAGUUGAGUGGCGAACUGGUGAGUAACACGUGGGAAACCUGCCCAGAAGCGGGGGAUAACACCUGGAAACAGAUGCUAAUACCGCAUAACAACUUGGACCGCAUGGUCCGAGUUUGAAAGAUGGCUUCGGCUAUCACUUUUGGAUGGUCCCGCGGCGUAUUAGCUAGAUGGUGGGGUAACGGCUCACCAUGGCAAUGAUACGUAGCCGACCUGAGAGGGUAAUCGGCCACAUUGGGACUGAGACACGGCCCAAACUCCUACGGGAGGCAGCAGUAGGGAAUCUUCCACAAUGGACGAAAGUCUGAUGGAGCAACGCCGCGUGAGUGAAGAAGGGUUUCGGCUCGUAAAACUCUGUUGUUAAAGAAGAACAUAUCUGAGAGUAACUGUUCAGGUAUUGACGGUAUUUAACCAGAAAGCCACGGCUAACUACGUGCCAGCAGCCGCGGUAAUACGUAGGUGGCAAGCGUUGUCCGGAUUUAUUGGGCGUAAAGCGAGCGCAGGCGGUUUUUUAAGUCUGAUGUGAAAGCCUUCGGCUCAACCGAAGAAGUGCAUCGGAAACUGGGAAACUUGAGUGCAGAAGAGGACAGUGGAACUCCAUGUGUAGCGGUGAAAUGCGUAGAUAUAUGGAAGAACACCAGUGGCGAAAGCGGCUGUCUGGUCUGUAACUGACGCUGA